CGCUCACGACAAUUGGAAUCCACAGUAAUGACUUCUCGAAAACAGCAGAACCAAAUAUGGAUGAGAAAGUCUUACCAUAAACUGGUGUGGCAGAUUACAUGUAACCAGAACCUGCAAAGGCAUGAAUGGUGAAGUAAAUAGAGACACAGACCAAAUAAUUAUAAGUAUCUUGCUCCAUAGAUACAGGGAAUAGAACCUUGACGGGCUAUUCAAAAACAAGUUAUUUCAUUUAAUAAAAACUAGUCCCAUCAUAACUUCAA
rnacentral:misc_RNA from 1 species